rnacentral:rRNA from 1 species
UACUGACGCUCAUGCACGAAAGCGUGGGGAANUAAAGGAUUAGAUACCCUGGUAGUCCACGCCCUACCCGAUGUCAACUAGUUGUUGGGUCUUCAUUGACUUAGUAACGUAGCUAACGCGUGAAGUUGACCGCCUGGGGAGUACGGUCGCAAGAUUAAAACUCAAAGGAAUUGACGGGGACCCGCACAAGCGGUGGAUGAUGUGGAUUAAUUCGAUGCAACGCGAAAAACCUUACCUACCCUUGACAUGGUCGGAACCCUGCUGAAAGGUGGGGGUGCUCGAAAGAGAACCGAUACACAGGUGCUGCAUGGCUGUCGUCAG